rnacentral:rRNA from 1 species
GAUGAACGCUAGCUACAGGCUUAACACAUGCAAGUCGAGGGGAAACGACAUCGAAAGCUUGCUUUUGAUGGGCGUCGACCGGCGCACGGGUGAGUAACGCGUAUCCAACCUGCCCACCACUUGGGGAUAACCUUGCGAAAGUAAGACUAAUACCCAAUGAUAUCUCUAGAAGACAUCUGAAAGAGAUUAAAGAUUUAUCGGUGAUGGAUGGGGAUGCGUCUGAUUAGCUUGUUGGCGGGGUAACGGCCCACCAAGGCGACGAUCAGUAGGGGUUCUGAGAGGAGAGUCACCCGCAUUGGAGCGGAGACACGGUCCAAACUCCUACGGGAGGCAGCAGUGAGGAAUAUUGGUCGAUGGGCGAGAGCCUGACCCAGCCAAGUAGCGUGCAGGAUGACGUCCCUAUGGGUUGUAAACUGCUUUUAUAAGGGAAUAAAGUGAGUCUCGUGAGACUUUUUGCAUGUACGUUAUGAAUAAGGACCGGCUAAUUCCAUGCCAGCCGCCGCAGUAA